AUGGAUCUAAAUUGUGAAUGAAGAAAUGGAAGUAAGUGUUAUCCUCAGGGAAAUCUGCUUGCACUUUAAAGUAAAAUGUAGCAGCGAAACUGCAACCUCACAGCCUAGAAUCUGCUGCCUGCUAUCCUGAUGGCAUCCCUUUCGAACUUGGGAGAGAACCAGAAAAGGAAGAUCUACCGUAGUUUAAAGCUAUUAAUUGCAGCUAUAAAGCUGGAUUGAAAAGAUCAUUCCUUUUCAACUACCUUGGCAGGGCUGGAAAGAAGGAAUAUACCAACCCAAUGAUGUUGUGGCAGAAAAUCUGUAAAGAACGUACACGAAGCAAGAGCUUAAUCAUUUGGAGGUCUGAGCAUCAAAGCUUUAAUCUUCUGUUCAAUGCAAGCUUUCCGAUAGGCCAGGUUUGCAACUGCAAUUCCAUUUUCGCACCUCAGAUGAUGCACAUCCCACUCUAUAUUAUGCUCACCCAAGCAGACUGCUCUUGAAACUUUUUUUAAAUGUAAAAUUUGAAUGCUGCUGCACAGUUAAUUCCAAAAUAUUAAAAUGGAAGAAGCAACAUUCAAAAUGAUUGUCGGCCUAAGGCUGUUGCUACCUUUUCUAAGUUCACCACCUCAGAAGAACCUCCUGGAGGUCUUAGGCUGUACCCCAACCUAUUCCUGGCAAGAAAGUUGGAGUUGUAAGCAUGAGAGAGAGAAAGGGAGGGAGGAAGAGAGAGACAGAGAGACAGAGAGAAGGGGAGAGGGAGAGGGAGAGAAUAUGAAUGAAUUUCUUCCAGCAUUUCUUCCAGCAAUGGGAAUCUCAUCAGGAUCUGUUUGGGUGCAAACGGCUGCAGCGUAGCAGCAAUAAUUGCUGUGGGCCUCUGUGGGCAACCCUUGGGGAUAAGAAAGAAGCGGGAAGGCAGAAUCUGCUCUGCUAUUCACAGUCAAGCAGCUUAUACAACCCUGGCUGGCCAGAUUGAGUCUUUCCACAGCCAGCUCAGCCUCUGACGUACUACAGACUGUAGAGCAGGGGUGUGUCCAACCUGGGCAACUUAAGGCUUGUGGACUUCAACUCCCAGAAUUCCCCAGCCAGCAUGAGAGUUGGGAGUUGAAGUCCACAAGUCUUAAGGUUGCCUCGGUUGGGCAUCCCUGCUCUAGAACAGGGUCUGAUGUACUUCAGACGAGCAGGCUACCUUACACUACAGCGUACGUAUAAUUCCUCCACAUGCAGUUCAAAGUGCUGGUUGUUAUCAUUAAAACCCUUCAUGGCAUCGGGCCUGGUUAUCUAAAGCAGGGGUCUCCAGCCUUAGCAACAUUAAGACUUGUGGAAUUCAACUUUCAAAGUUCCUCAACCAGCUUUGCAAAGCUGGCUAAGACACUUUGGAAUUUGAAGUCCGCAAGUCUUAAAUUUGCCAAGGUUGGAGACCCCUGAUCUAAAGGACCAUCAGACUUCUGUGGCUUGCAUCCAGCCUGGAUAAGUGGACAGAGUGACCAUGUUCCAGGUCAUCCAUUAAGCAGUAUCUUCAACAUAUCUUCUCCAUCACAGCGCUUGACUAUGGAACACCUUUUCUCUCUCCUCUACUUUAGCCAUGUUCAAAAAGUCCUCUGAAAACCUGACACUUUCUCCAGGGUUUGGGUUAGAGGCAGUACCAGCCUCUAUGUGUUUGAUUGUCUUUUAAUGGUUAUUUUCCUUCUGGCAUUGCGGGUGAGGGGUAGGGUUCACUUGUAUUAUAUGAUUGCUUUUAUUGUACACUUCCAGAGUCAUCGUAGAGUUGAGCAGCUGUACACGUUUCUAAAAUAAAUAAAAAUGAAACACU